rnacentral:rRNA from 1 species
AUUGAACGCUGGCGGAAUGCUUUACACAUGCAAGUCGAACGGCAGCACGGACUUCGGUCUGGUGGCGAGUGGCGAACGGGUGAGUAAUGUAUCGGAACGUGCCCAGUCGUGGGGGAUAACGUAGUGAAAAUUACGCUAAUACCGCAUACGAUCUAUGGAUGAAAGCGGGGGAUCGCAAGACCUCGCGCGAUUGGAGCGGCCGAUAUCAGAUUAGGUAGUGGGUGGGGUAAAGGCCCCCCAAGCCAACGAUCUGUAGCUGGUCUGAGAGGACGACCAGCCACACUGGAACUGAGCCAGGGUCCAGACUCCUAGGGGAGGCAGCGGUGGGGAAUUUUGGAAAAGGGGCGAAAGCCUGAUCCAGCCAUUCCGCGUGCAGGAGGAAGGCCCUCGGGUUGUAAACUGCUUUUGUACAGAACGAAAAGGUUUCUACUAAUACUAGGAGCUCAUGACGGUACUGAAAGAAUAAGCACCGGCUAACUACGUGCCAGCCGCCGCCGUAA